ensembl:lncRNA
CACCAACGCUUCUGCAUUCUUCUCAAAGUCCUUACACACCCUCCCUCAGCAUCUCUGGCUCAGCACUAAACUCAAAGGGGGGGUUAUACAGUCGAAAAUUGUGUGGCGUGAUGGGGGAAGAGUAGUGACGUGGGGAGUGAUGGGAGAGUGGGACGUGGGUCGUGAUGGGAGAGUGGGGACGUGGGGCGUGAUGGGAGAGUGGGACGUGGGGUGUGAUGGGAGAGUAGUGACGUGGGGCGUGGUGGGAGAGGUGGGACGUGGGGCGUGAUGGGAGAGUGGUGACGUGGGGCUUGAUGGGAGAGUGGGGACGUGGGGCGUGAUGGGAGAGUGGGGACGUGGGGCGUGGUGGGAGAGGUGGGACGUGGGGCGUGAUGGGAGAGUGGUGACGUGGGGCUUGAUGGGAGAGUGGGGACAUGGGGCGUGAUGGGAGAGUGGUGACGUGGGGCUUGAUGGGAGAGUGGUGACGUGGGGCUUGAUGGGAGAGUGGUGAUGUGGGGCAUGAUGGGAGAGUGGUGAUGUGGGGCAUGAUGGGAGAGUGGUGACGUGGGGCUUGAUGGGAGAGUGGUGAUGUGGGGCUUGAUGGGAGAGUGGUGAUGUGGGGCAUGAUGGGAGAGUGGGGACGUGGGGCGUGAUGGGAGAGUGGGGACGUGGGGCGUGAUGGGAGAGUGUGGACAUGGGGCAUGAUGGGAGAGUGGUGACGUGGGGUGUGGUGGAAGAGUGGGGACGUGGGUCAUGGUGGGAGAGUGGGGACGUGGGGCGUGGUGGGAGAGUGGGGACGUGGGGCGUGGUGGGAGAGUGGUGACGUGGGGCUUGAUGGGAGAGUGGUGACGUGGGGCUUGAUGGGAGAGUGGGGACGUGUGGCGUGGUGGGAGAGUGGGGACUUGGGGCAUGAUGGGAGAGUGGGAACGUGGGGCGUGAUGGGAGAGUGGGGACGUGUGACGGAUGAUAGGGUGACAGUGAACAGAUGUGGGGACUGAUGGAUGGCAGGGACAUUAAAAGUGAAAGAGGCAGUGCACAGUCAGAAUGCAGCAUUGCAGGGGUCUCCGGGU